AUCCGACCAAACUGAUUGUCCGAACAUUCAAAAUGAGCGGUCUAGGAGUCCGUUCUGAUGCUGUGAAGGCGUUGGCAUCUUCACUGAAUGGGGUGGAAAACAUCCAAGAGUCCUUGGAUAUUAUAAUCAGCGCCCUCAAAGAGAAAAUUGAAAGGAGAGAACUGACCUCCAG
rnacentral:ribozyme from 1 species